rnacentral:rRNA from 1 species
UACAGAGGGCCCGAGCGUUGUUCGGAUUCAUUGGGCGUAAAGGGUGCGUAGGCGGCGGGGAAAGUCUGAUGUGAAAUCCUGGGGCUCAACCCUGGAACUGCAUUGGAUACUUCCUUGCUAGAGUACUGGAGAGGAAACUGGAAUUUACGGUGUAGCAGUGAAAUGCGUAGAGAUCGUAAGGAAGACCAGUGGCGAAGGCGAGUUUCUGGACAGUUACUGACACUGAGGCACGAAGGCCAGGGGAGCAAACGGG